GACGAACGCUGGCGGCGUGCUUAACACAUGCAAGUCGAGCGGUAAGGCCCUUUCGGGGGUACACGAGCGGCGAACGGGUGAGUAACACGUGGGUGACCUGCCUUCAGCUCUGGGAUAAGCCUGGGAAACUGGGUCUAAUACUGGAUAUUACUCUGCGGUGCAUGCCGUGGGGUGGAAAGCCUUGUGCGGCUGGGGAUGGGCCCGCGGCCUAUCAGCUUGUUGGUGGGGUGAUGGCCUACCAAGGCGACGACGGGUAGCCGGCCUGAGAGGGCGACCGGCCACACUGGGACUGAGACACGGCCCAGACUCCUACGGGAGGCAGCAGUGGGGAAUCUUGCGCAAUGGGCGAAAGCCUGACGCAGCGACGCCGCGUGAGGGAUGACGGCCUGGUGUAACU
rnacentral:rRNA from 1 species